rnacentral:misc_RNA from 1 species
UAAGUUUUGGUCUGAAGAACUUGAAGAAGUAACUUUUACUUGUCUAACCUGUUGCAACCCAUCAUUAUACAUCUAAGACUUAACUUAGUUGCACAGUAUUUUAACUGACAAUUUUAAUACAUUCGUGUAAAAUAAGUCAUUGUGAGACUAAUUUUAAACUAUUAAAGAAAAUGUUAGUAGUUUCUGCACCUGAAGUUAACCCUCGGAGAUUGCAUGCCUCAAAUUCUAGAGGACAAAUUCAGAUUAUUUUUGGGCCUAUGUUUUCAGGAAAAACGACUGAACUUAUCAGAAGGCUGAAGAGGUAUGAAGUAGCCAACCACUCUUGUCUGAUGAUAAAGUAUGCAAAUGACACACGUUAUAGUGCUGAACAGGUUUCUACCCAUGACCAUCAGACUUUACCAGCAGUCCAAACUACUGAACUUGGAUGCCUUAAAGAUGAAAGCAAGAAGUAUAGUGUGAUUGGCAUUGAUGAAGGCCAGUUUGUAAGUUUUUCAGAUAUAGUGGAGUUUGCUGAGGAAAUGGCAAAUAUUGGAAAAGUGGUAAUUGUUGCUGCCUUAGAUGGAACAUAUCAAAGACAGGGUUUUGGUAACAUUCUCUUUUUGGUUCCACUGGCUGAAAGUGUAAUUAAACUCACUGCAGUUUGUAUGAAUUGUUUUGAAGAGGCUUCUUACACCAAGAGAAAAGGCUCAGAAAAACAGGUUGAAAUUAUUGGAGGACCAGAAAAGUAUAAGUCUGUUUGCCGUGCAUGUUAUUUUAAAGUAUCACCUGUAAAAGACUCAACAGAGUUGCCUUAUUCAAUGGAUAAAGAGAGAUCUGUCGUAGUUCGUCAGUUGAACGUGAACUAAUAAUGAUAGUGAUCAUUAAAAUCUUGGCUGAGGAAUAAUAACCCUAAAAAGUCAAGUGCUUCUGAUUGGAUAUUACUGAGAAGAACUACUCUUACAUAAAACAAUAAAAAAGUCCAUUGAUGGUUCAAAGGCUCACAGAAAGAAAAGUGUGGUAAACAAAUUGAAAAUCAAACAUCCUUCUCCUAGUCUACUAGCAAGAACAGUCUAAGUGAUAAAUGCAUAUGAUCCAAGAAUGUUCAUGCAUACCUUUGGUGGGUAACUUCACUAAGUUUAGCAGAUGUUGAUUCUGAACCACUUAUCACUGGAGUGGUAGAAGUAGAACGACAAAAAAGGCUAGACAUCACAGUUGGGAAUGUUUUUUCUUGUUCCAGGGAGAGUGGAAAACUUACCAAUGGCUGCUGAAAAACAUUAGUUGUCGAAGUGCUGACAUGAGAAGCACUGUGUUUCAUUUGAAGAUGAGUAGCAAGAUUGGUUUUUAAUGUUACUGAUGCUGAAGUUGAUGAAGCAUAACUGUUAUUAUCUGAAACCCCUGUAGAUAAACACUUCAGAUAAUUAUUCUAAAUCUUAAAUACCACCAAUGAGUCCAAAAAUGAUUCAUAUAAGUAAACAUGUAUUUGUUAAGGACCUAUAUAUAGUUUCACAACAAAAUAAAUAUAACCUGAAUGCCAAAAAUGAGCAUUCUCCCUUUAUAUAGUUUUGGUAUCAUGCAUGGAGAAAUGUAAACAAGCUCACAUUUGUUGAGAAACAUUUCUAAUUCGUGAUAAAAUACCAUUGAAUAUUGUAUUCUCAAAACAUAACUAGGGACAAAAUAUGCAAUUAUAACAGCAAAACUGUAAACAAAUAAAUAACAAUUGUUUUUUAUUUAAUCUAGUAAACUUUUUACCAGCUACACUCAAUUUUAAUAUUUUUAGUUAUGUUUUUUCUAUCUAUUCUUCUUCAUUAUUCUAUUUUUAACCUGUUGUUUGUUUAUAAAUAGUUUAAUACUAAGUGUAAACAAAUGGCACAUAUUAACAUUUGGAUGGUGAAUAAUAGUCAUAUAUUUACUUUAAAAUGAAAGAUAUGCAAAUAUAACAAUAUCAUUGUAGUUAUUAGUCAGUCAGGUACUGACCCAAUGCAAAUAUUAAGAAAUUAUUAAAUGUAAACUUUACCAUGCUGCUGUUGCUGUAUUUUUUGUUGUAAGUGUUUUUGAAGUAACUGUCGUUGGUUUAAUUUGGUUUCAAUUUCUUCAGGACCAGAGCAAGCUGCUGUAGUGAUAACUGGUAAAAUCGAAUUCAUAGUCUCAGAACUUGAAUGUGGGUUGAUAACUGGUAAUUGUGUCACUGAGUUCUGCAUGCAUAAUUGGUCCUGCAAAAAGUUUUGAUGUUGUUGAAGUUGUAUUUGAGACCUGAAACACAGAAAGAUUGUUGUAAAACAAAAAUAUUCUGCUACAUGACAUCUUACAAUACUUUAGUUUUUGUAAUCCACUACUAAAGAACUUUGAAAGACAGAAAAUAUUCUCUUAAUAAAUGUUAAGUUCAUAUAGCAUUUAGGAUUACUCUAAACAUGUCUUAAAUACUCCACCUUAGCUUUUGUAAACUAUAUAAAUACCUAUUAAAUGAUUAAAUAUUCCUUGAGAAGAAACUUAAUGGAAUUAAAGAAAAUAAUGACAUUCUAGAAGAGCAUUUAAAACUAUACUGAAAUUCAUUCUUUGGUACAAUUUAGUGUAUACAUGUGUGUAUGUGUGUGUUUAUACAUAUAUAUAUAUGGGUUAAUGGUUAUUAAUGGUUACAGGUUUGCAUAAAUAACAGUAAGUAUAUUGGAACCUUAAUUAAUCUAAUCAAUAAACG